GAAGCCGCGGGCGGCCGGCCGCGGCCCGGGAGCUGCUGCUGCUGCUGCGGCGGCUGCACCCGCGGCGCCAAGGCCGAGGCGGAGGCAAGGGUGCGAGCUCGGCUGACGUGCCGGAUCCGCGCGGCUCGGCUACAUCGGCUCCUGCGGCUGCCUGAGCGUCUCGGCUGGUGUGUGCACGGCCUCGGCGAGGAUGCGGCUUUUCCGGUGGCUGCUGAAGCAGCCGGUGCCUAAGCAGAUCGAACGUUACUCGCGUUUCUCGCCAUCGCCACUCUCCAUCAAGCAGUUCCUAGACUUCGGGAGAGAUAAUGCAUGUGAGAAAACUUCAUAUAUGUUUCUACGAAAGGAGCUUCCUGUAAGACUGGCCAACACAAUGAGAGAGGUUAAUCUUCUGCCGGAUAACUUGCUUAACCGCCCUUCAGUGGGGUUGGUUCAGAGUUGGUAUAUGCAGAGCUUUCUUGAACUUUUAGAAUAUGAGAAUAAGAGCCCUGAAGAUCCACAGGUCUUGGAUAACUUUCUGCAAGUUCUCAUCAAAGUCAGAAAUAGACACAACGAUGUGGUCCCUACCAUGGCACAAGGAGUGAUUGAAUACAAGGAGAAAUUUGGCUUUGAUCCAUUCAUUAGCAGUAACAUCCAGUAUUUUCUGGAUCGGUUCUAUACCAACCGCAUCUCUUUCCGCAUGCUUAUUAACCAGCACACACUUCUGUUUGGUGGUGACACUAAUCCUGCUCACCCUAAACACAUUGGAAGUAUUGAUCCCACCUGCAAUGUGGCUGAUGUCGUGAAAGAUGCCUAUGAAACAGCCAAGAUGCUGUGUGAACAGUAUUACCUGGUAGCUCCAGAGCUGGAAGUCGAAGAAUUCAAUGCCAAAGCUCCAGACAAACCUAUUCAGGUAGUUUAUGUGCCCUCACACCUGUUUCACAUGCUAUUUGAGUUGUUCAAGAACUCAAUGAGAGCAACAGUCGAACUAUAUGAAGACAGAAAAGAAGCCUACCCAUCUGUUAAAACCCUUGUUACUCUGGGUAAAGAAGACUUGUCCAUUAAGAUAAGUGACCUAGGUGGUGGUGUCCCACUUCGAAAAAUAGACCGUCUUUUUAACUACAUGUAUUCAACUGCUCCUAGACCUAGCCUGGAGCCUACAAGAGCCGCCCCUCUGGCUGGAUUUGGUUAUGGCUUGCCAAUUUCUCGUCUGUAUGCUAGAUAUUUCCAAGGAGAUCUAAAACUCUAUUCCAUGGAAGGAGUCGGUACUGAUGCUGUCAUUUAUUUAAAGGCACUUUCAAGUGAAUCAUUUGAGAGACUUCCGGUUUUUAAUAAGUCUGCGUGGCGUCAUUACAAGACCACACCCGAAGCUGAUGACUGGAGCAAUCCCAGCAGAGAACCUAGGGAUGCCUCAAAAUACAAGGCGAAACAACUCGUGAAUGGCGUCUUGUCAACGUCCGUCCAGUGGAACGUGACGACCAGACAAGAAAGACUGGUUUCUUCCUCAAGCUAUGUGCAUGGCAGAAGAUGACAGAUUUUUCUUUGAACUUGGAAAUUUUCGAGUGACAAGUUCAUUUGCAAGUAUAAUUAGCUGAAAAGGUCCCUGUGGAAGGGGUAAAGUAUCCCAACUCUUUCAGGUAUAGAUUCAUUAAUUCUUUUAAAAUGGAAGGUUACGUAUCAAAUAUUUUAGUUAUGUCUAAUCCCUCCAUCAGAACUCUGCUUUUGUGAAUACAAGUACAGUAACCUGGCACAUCAAUUCCUUUCCCUGCCCCCCAAAAGAGAGAAUGAAGGUAAGGAGAGCAAAAAUUGCUUGUAGGAGACAAGUCAACCGUGCACUAAGGCUUUCUCCUCAAGUUUCCCACAUUCGGUCAGCAGCGGCUGAGAAUCAGCUAAUAAGGUUUUUUGUUUUUUGUUUUUUGUUUUUUUUAGAAUGUAAGUUAGGGCAGUGCAGCUGGGCCUAACAAAGGUCGAUUAGCCCUGACAGGUAUAUAUGCUCUUAAUGAUAUUUUCAGGUUUUACUGGUGGUUUAUUGGUUUUUACUUGAUGAUUUCUUAAAGGAUUCGAUCACUGGGUAUGUAUUUCGGGGCUGAUGAACUGUCAUGCUUUAUCCGAAUGGCAUCUCGGUGGGAGUCUUUCUGUCUAACGGCGGAAUACCUGAAGAAGUUGCUUAAACAUUCAACUCCAAUAUCCAAUGAGGACUCCAGUACCAGAGGACCGUGUAUGUGUUUGUGUGUAAACAUUUUUGAUAGUGUACUUCUUUUAUCCCAGGGGUUCUGUUUAUUAACAAAAGCUAAUUCUCUUCAGGGCAAAUAUUAGAGUUCUUCACUAUGAAUUUUAUCAUGCUUUAGAACGGAUUUUUCCGUUGAGAACAUUUCCGAGGUAUCACGGAGUCCAGAAGAAACCUGUAGCUGUUACCGUAAUUACGACCUGUCAAGAAUGUGUUUGAUCUGGGUGGCAAAGCCAAGUAAUAUGGUCCAUGAAUAAUAGGUAUUGUAUUUUUAAAUGGCUUUCCUGGCUGGAUACAGGCCUGGCUGUUUCUUCCCGAGUCCAGGCUAAUGUUAGAACUGUUGUCGUUUCGCGGCUAAAGCUCGCCAGGUGGAGUUAAUGGAAACUCCCCAACUGGGCCGGUGGAGGGCCGCUCGCACUUUCCUGGCGCGGGAACCUGGGCCCUCACUGCUGGCAUUUGGGAUCGUGAUUUGGCGCCUCCACCCCAUCGAUCGGCUUCCCUCGCGUCAAAGGCGCUUCCCCCCCACCCCCAACCCAAGACGUUCAAGUGGCGGGAAGGGCCCCGCGCCCCGUUCCGGUACAGGUGCGAAGCAGCCGUCAGGGGGCUUCCUCGGGAAGGUGGGUGGAGCCCCCGCGCCUGUGGAGGCUGAGGCAGGGGGCGCGGCCGCGCAAGGCGGCAGGAGUGGAGGUCCCAGGGGCCUGGCGGGCCCCCUCUCCAGCUUUCUGCCCAGGGAGAGGUAAGCCCUUUCUCGUGGUCGCGUAGUGGCAGCCUCCUAGCUGGAGAAGCGUAGGGACGACGCGGGUUGCGUUAUAAAUUCAGAGACCUUUCCAGCGAAGACCUCGGCAGCCCUUGCCAUCAGCCCCCUCAAUUGACAAAAGCAGACCCUGAGGCCACGGAAGUGAAGCGGUUUGGCCGAGGUCACAGAGCCUCCAACUCCAGGUCCCGACUGGGCCCCCCAGUGUGACCUCCCCUCCAGGCAAACAGUAAUGUCCAAGGUACAGAAGGGCAGUGGGAAAUAAAACCGAAGUCCCUGUCCUCCUUGACGUGAGGACGAAUCACACAAUAAACAAAAUGAACAAAAUAUGUGGAUGUCAGACGGAAGUACGGUCUGUGAGAAAAAACAAAACGACCACCCUGGCUGCAGUGUGGGGACCAGACCACAGGGAAGCCAGAGCAGGAGCAGCGGGAGUGGUGAAGAGCCCACUGCAGCGAGAAUCCAAGUAAGAAGAAUGAUGGCGCCCUGGACCACACCCAUCGCCGUGAGGAUGAGAUGAGAAGUUCUUCACAUCUACUGAGACAGUAAAUGUCCUGACAAAUGCCUUCCAAGGUUUCAGGAUUUCAGAGAGAUUCCAGCUUUACUGCCACAAAAAGAAAUGAAAAAUAUCCUAGUUACAUCUGGUUUGGACUUCUGGUGCUGUUAAAGGGCUUUAGAGUGUGACAAUGUCCUCCACCCAACAACCCUACAAGCUAGCUGAGGGAAAGGAACUUGGCGAAGGCACUCAGCUAGGAGGGGGAAGCCAGAUUCUUUGUCAUGAAGACACUCGGGCAGCCUGUGCAAAGGCCCAAUGCGGGGAGGAAUUGGGGUACCUCGUUCCCAGUCACAAGAUGCGGAAGAGGAUCCUCCAGCCCCAGCUGACCUCUCGACUGCAACAUCAUGAGAGACCCUGAAUGAUAACCACUCAGCUAAGCUGCUUCCUGAUUUGCAGAAACUGUGUGAACAUGGUCAUCAGCACCACUUCGCACUCUGCUGGAAUGGAAGGGUGUGGAUUUUUGAUCACAGUUCUUCAUAAGCAAGCAUGAGGUCCCUUGGGGGAGAAGAUGCCAUGGAAGCCCAGAGACCAAGUUCUGCACCUUCUCUUCACGUUCUUCCUAGCACUGUGCAAAUACAAGCACAUGAAUAAAUGGCCCGUGAAUUAAACUGAUUUGAGCCGAAAACUUGAACAGGCCCACAUGGAGAGUGAAAAGGAACCCAGCACUUGGCUCCUCCACUAUUGCUAGCUCUUUCUAAAAGUCAUUGAAAGCUCAAGCAGCCCCUUGCAAACCCUCUACCCCUCUCAGACUCAGCCAGUAGGACCUGAUUGGCCUACAACACCCACCUCUAUAAUCAUUUAGAGGCCACUAGACUUGAAGCAAAGCAUCUCUUCCAACUUCUCAAACAUUGUUCUUUUUCUAUUACUAAUUGAGUGUUUUACUUUUAGAUAAUCCUAUAAUGAACCAGCUCAAAUGAGCAGAGGCAGCAGUGACAACCCAUCAAUAAAAUAAUUAAGCCGAAGUGGAUUUUGUUAGAGACUUCUCAUGUCAUAAUAGAAAAUCUAGGCUACUUAAAAUCAAGGAAAUCAAAUGGAAUCGCUUCGUUUGGUUUUAAAAAGGAAGGCUAGCUUUAAAAGAUCUCUUUGAUAGAACCCUCAUUAAUGCUUUGACAAUACUGCUUCUUUACUCUCGAAGUACAUGCACAAUAGAAAUACCAAUGGAGUAUGAGGUGGUUUCCAGAAAUUUCUUUUCUCUUUUCAUAGCUUCCACUCAGAAUUGUCUAUAGAAUUUAGAAGAGACCCUCUACACUUUCUCUGUUUUAAGAUUUAGAUCAUGGUCUCAGUUCCCUAAGACUUGCAUACUUUAUCCCAACACCUAUAUACCAUGGAAAAACGGGAAAAUCGGGGCAUGACAGCCACAGAUGCAGGGCAAAAUCCUACCUCUUCUUUCUCUCUCUCUUACAUGCAAUGGAAGAGGAAGGUUCCUGACCAAAAAGCUGGCCAAGGCAGCUGGGUUUCUGUUGCCCUCUUCUCCCCUGGUGGAUCCAAGAGCCCAUUAGCUUUAUCUCACAACACAAAUGCCAUGACACCACUGACCCACUUGACUCUCACCCGAAAAGCUUUGCCUCAUUUCCAACUGAAAGACUACGAUGAGCUAAAGAACCAACCUCCGCAGUAACAGACAUUCAACAUUUACCAAAUGGCUUCAAGGUCUGGACAAGAAAUAGAAACAGCAGAACUGGCUCUGGGUGCUAUCGGGUGCCUUACUGAGGGAUAAAGCCGAAACUAAAUAAAUGACGUGGACUUGAAGCUACUCAGGCUGAUGCCCAUGUUGGACUGAGAUAAGGGACACCCUUGAGUGGAGCCAUGAAAAUGAAGAGAAAGCAAAAACGUCCAUCACUGCAGGGCCAAGUGAAAUAAUUACAUACCCAUGCGCCAUCAGGCCCAAACAGCUCUAGGAAGUUGCCAAUGAACUCCCUCGACUUCUCUUCCCACUUCUGAAUUAGAUCAUGACUCUUUUCUUCCACUCUGUUGACAAAUUCCUUUGAUCUCUCCUCGACAUUCUUGACCUUUUCCUUCAUCUUGUCUACCUGGUUUUGGAAGCGGUACUUCUUUUCCUGGUCAAAAAUGAAAAGAGAAAAAAGAGAUUUAUCCCAGAGGGCAUGAGAGAGACCAGUCAUUCACACUAAUGGUCACUUUAUUUCAACUUGUGUUUGUUCUUAACCUGGAGAGUCAGGAUGUUGCUAUUUCCAAGGGCUAGACUGACGGGAGGCACAUCUCUUGUAAGAGAAGUCGUUUGUCAUGAGUCUACUUGGAUAUGUAAAAUGAAAUACAAGUGAUUUUAAUAUUCUUUUUUGUAAACAUCAGAGUUGAAGUCACUUAUAUAAGAACCAAAAAUACAUAUUUACUGUUUAUUACAGGUAGCUAUUGGACAAACACCCCCCCCCAAUUCUCCUGGGAUUUAGACAAAAGUAUGGAUUGUCCAUAGAAUGGUCGCUCAGAAGCCACCCAAGUUCUCGGUUUUACUGGGACACUGUUAAAGCCAGUACUGGUUGAAAUCGGCCACUGGCUGGGCCUUAAAAGCCAUGUGUGACACUGUAAUUUUCAUUGCAAUGAUAUUUUCCAUUAAGCUAACUGAACUGCAUCCAUUUCCUUGGUGAUGAAGACAGCUUUUGUCCUGAUAGCUUCUCUGGACUGAGAUUUUUGUCCUUCUUAUAGCCCUUAUGCAGCAGUGCUAUUCCCGUGUGCGUGGAAGGCCUUGUAUGUUGGGCAAGUCACGGGCCAUCUCUAAACUUCAGUUUCUUCCUCUGUAAAAUGGGGAUAAUUAUCAUCCCUACCCCAUCAGGUUGCUGUAACAAUUAGGUCAGAUUACGCACGUGAAGUGCUUGGCACAAAGCCUGGCAUUUUAAAAGUAAAAGCGCAGUGUGUGUUGGCUGUUUGAUUCUGAUGAAGCAGCGUAAGCCUUUCCUCGUGUUACCCGAUGAGAGUGCUAUCAAACCACGAAAAGUACGUGACAUGGAGGGUCUUCCCCUCCAUGAAGUCAUGAUGUAUUUUCUCCUCACAGGGCAAUAAGGUUUUUUUCUUCAGUAUACGGGACUGAAGUUCCUAUCUCAGAAUUUUCUUGAGACACCUGAAAUAUUGCAAAACUGGGGCAGGAUUCCCAGAUUCAGACCUUCCAAACGGGACUGCAGCCUCAGGGUGGGGUGUGAGCUCCGGGUAACAUGCCGCUGUCAGGGCCAGCCCGGGCCAGAGUGACCGGCCGCCACCUCCACUCUGCCUGAGGGGCCUCGGCCAGGCCCCCUCUGAGCACAGUGUCACCUGUGUCUAAGCGGCGGGACUUGGACUGGGUGACUGGCCACUGGCAAGUUCCUGCCUCCUGUGAGGCCCUGUGCUUCAUCGAUGUGCCCGUCCGGCACAUUCGACCCUGUCUGUGAGUGGCAGCCAGCCUGUUGGCAUGGAAAGGCAGCGAGCAUGUCCGUGUUGACUACACGGUUUCUUGAGCUAAGCGGCUUAGCUAAAGGCCGUUAGGAGAGAAUGAGCGAUAACUUUUGGAAAUGGUUUAACAUGCUUGGAUGGCUGACUGGAUUCAAUUUAAAAGAACAGACAGUUUAAAUUAUUGAAAUAACCAGGGCUUUAUUCUCUAUAAGAUACCAAAUAAUCACUUUGAUGGAAUUCUUUUCAGCCACUUGUUCUGGUGCCACUUGAACCCCAACAUUUUCUGUUCUGUUGCCCGACUUGUGUGAAGCCACGGAAUAACCACUGGUGGACAAUUAAUAAACCCCUCAUCAUCUAGAAGGCACCGAGGAUCGAUGUGGUUAAGCUGCUGGAUAGUUAUGGCUGCACAUAAGCAUCUAGUUUUGUAGAAAAAUCACUCUUUGAAAACCUACUGGAGGGGACUGAAAUUCUGUAUGGAUGAAGGGUUCCUGUUUUAAUCAACUUUGUCACCUCCUCGGAGUCCAGGCAAAUACAGUUGUCCAGAUGCGCUAACAUCACCUCUGGCUGGUGGACUGGAGGUGAACUGCCCUCUUAGCUUUGUAACAGCCUGUUUUGCUUGUUUUAAAGAUUGUUUUAACAGUUGCUCUAUUAUUAAACUAACAGCAGGUCUGUGGGAACAAUACGGCACGAAUGCAAAAGGAAGCCAAAGACUUUAGGCUUUAUUUAAGCAGCUGUAAUCUCUCGGGACAAUAAAAAGAAAUGGCUCUUAAGGUUUCUAAUGAGCAUCUGUAAGGCCUUAAUAAAACGAAAAAAUUUAAAACUCA